rnacentral:rRNA from 1 species
ACGAACGCUGGCGGCGUGCCUAACACAUGCAAGUCAAGGGCUACUUUCGGGUAGCACUGGCGCACGGGUGAGUAACGCGUAGGUAUCUGCCCCUAUCUCUGACAUAACAUCGAGAAAUCGGUGCUAAUAUCAGAUGAGGCCCGAGAGGGUCAAAGGUCGUAAGACUGGAUAGGGAUGAGCCUGCGUCCGAUUAGCUAGUUGGUGAGGUAAAGGCUCACCAAGGCGACGAUCGGUAGCUGGUCUGAGAGGAUGGUCAGCCACACUGGAACUGAGACACGGUCCAGACUCCUACGGGAGGCAGCAGUGAGGAAUAUUGCGCAAUGGGCGAAAGCCUGACGCAGCGACGCCGCGUGCGGGAAGAAGGAGCUUUGCUCUGUAAACCGCUGUCGGACGGGAAGAAAGAGUUCCUAAGGGGGCUUGGGACAGUACCGUCAGAGGAAGCACCGGCUAACUACGUGCCAGCAGCCGCGGUAAUACGUAGGGUGCGAGCGCUGUCCGGAAUUACUGGGUGUAAAGGGUGCGUAGGCGGGCGAGUGCGUCGGAGGUUAAAGGCAACGGCUUAACCCGUUGAAAUGCCUUCGAAACGGCUUGUCUUGAAUG